rnacentral:rRNA from 1 species
UACGGAGGGUGUAAGCGUUAUCCGGAUUCACUGGGUUUAAAGGGUGCGUAGGCGGGCAGGUAAGUCCGUGGUGAAAUCUCUGAGCUUAACUCAGAAACUGCCAUGGAUACUAUUUGUCUUGAAUGUUGUGGAGGUAAGCGGAAUAUGUCAUGUAGCGGUGAAAUGCUUAGAUAUGACAUAGAACACCAAUUGCGAAGGCAGCUUACUACACAAAUAUUGACGCUGAGGCACGAAAGCGUGGGGAUCAAACAGG